UGCUAUGGAUGCCUAAGUGGUGUAGCUAUGUGCAGGCACGGCAGGACGCGUGAGCGCCUCUCUCCUCACCGCGCCGCUCUCACCGCUUCCCUACUAUCGAUACAUCGCAUAGCUCGAGCUGCGCAUCUUUCUUACGCAGCUACUUUGCGGCGGCGCAUCUUCCUCGCACAGCUACAUAGCUUAGUAUUGGUGGAAACGGUCACAUAUUUUCGUAGCAUAGAUUUCACAUCUUCGUAGC